CAUCAUAGGAUCUAUGGAUCCUCCAAGGGUCAAAUGAAAAUGUGGGGGCUGGAGAGAUGCCCUAGCAGUUAUGAGCACCUCUUGCUCUUCCAGAAGACCCAGGUUCAACUGUCAGCACCCACCUGGUAGAAAACAACUGUCAGUAACCUCAGUUCCAAAUCAGCUGAUACCCUCUUCAGUCCACCAAGUUCACAACAUGCAUUUGGUACACAGACGCAUACACACAUACACAUUAAAAAUACAAUAACUUGUUUUUAAAAAUAAAGUAGAUAAACAUGAAAAUGUCUAGAAGAAAGACCAAAUCCAUGAUUGCCUAAUUAAAGCAAGCUUUAUUAAAUACUGGCCGGGAAGAUGGACACUAGCUCCAUCCAUACACAGGGUUCCCAGAGAUGGUGUUGAAUUUUGGUAAUGAGGUGCUUAUAAAGGCAAAACCCACAGGGCUGUGUACAUCCUGCCUUCAUCCAAUCAGGGGCAAGCACACAUUCGGAUGUACUUCCUGACUACAUACCUGCCACCUAUCUGUGAUCAAGCACAUCCUACUCAGUUGAGAAGUUCCAGCGUGAGUUAAGCACCAAGUGGGUGUUGAAUACAGUGAGUACUGGGGCCCAUGUGCUGCUGGGAAAGAUCCUACAGAACCACAUGCUGAACCUCCGCAUCGCCAACUCCAAACUCUUCUGGAGGGCACUGGCCAUGUUGCAGAGGUUUUCUGGACAGUCCAAGGCUCGCUGCAUCGAGAGCCUUCUUCAAGUGAUCCAUUUUCCUCAACCGCUGUCGAUGAUGUCCGCGGUGCCCCCAUCUCCUGCCAUGUCCAGGUUGCCCACGAGAAGGAAAAGGUGAUCCCCACAGCCUUGCUGAGCCUCCUACUCUGGUACUCCAUCACUGAGACUAAGGCACGUCUGGCUGGAGCUUCUUCAGUCUGUGAGGUUGUUAGAAGCGUCCUCUCUGGGCCAGGUCAGAAGCGGAGCACUCAAACCCUUGGAGACCUUACCGCCUGUGGUGCCCUGAAUUGAUGUUUUUGAGACCAUGGAGGGCAGAGUCCCCCUCCAGUUCCCAGGGGACUUGUGCCAGCAAUACAGUUGUGGGGACAAUUUCGGGUGAGUGCGGCACUCACUAACAGCCCAGAAAUGGGAAAGAGUCCUGUUUUCAGCCGGAUCAUUUCAAUUCUUACUGGUGUCUUCUGAUCUCAGAAAUAAAACUGUCUUGUUUUGGAACCUAA